GUACUUUUAACAUUUCAAACAGAAGGUUGUAAGCAUACAGAAAUACAAUUGAUUUUUGUAUGUUGAGUAUAUGUUUUGAAAUCUACAAACUCACAUACUUUUAGCAGUAUUUUGUAGAUUCCUUAGAAUUUUCUUUAUAGAUGAUUAUGUUGUCUACAAACACAGUUUACCUCAUUUCCAAUCUGUGUGCCUUUAUUUUUAUUCAUUUGUUUAUUUUUAGAUUUCUCCCAAUUUAGGAAUAUUUGAUUUAUCCUGUACAGAUUAACUCCCUUCUUCUUUUAUUCUGGAUUUCAUUAUCACCGUUCCACAGCAUGACGACACACUCCAGCAUGUGACACUGAACAGAGGUGGAAAAAGCAAGACGUCCUUGCAUUGUUCCUGAUCUAAGAGAGAAGGGCAUUCAGCCUUUCAUCAAAAGAGUGGGUUGGCUCUGUUGCCCAGGCUGGAGUGCAGUGAUACAAUCUUGACUCGUUACAACCUCUACCUCCCAGGCUCAAGUCAGCCUCCUGAGUAGUUGGGUCUUCAGAUGCAUUUCACCAGGCCCAGGGUCUCACUCUGAGGCCCAGGCUGGAGUACAGUGGCUCAGUCAUGGCUCACGGCAGCCUCAACCUCCUGGACUCAAGUGAUCCUCCCACCUCAGCCUCCUGAGUAGCUGGGACCACAGGUACACACCACCAUGCCUGGAUAAGUUUU